rnacentral:sRNA from 1 species
AUGAUAACAUUUGGAUAUGGCGGGAAAAGAAUCAAUUCACGGAGAGGAGACCGACGCUAUUGGAAGUGUGUGAUUCCGGACUGUGCUGCCAGACUUAACACGAAUAGUUCGAAUACUUCACUCACUGUGAGAAGCAAGGAAGAGACCAAACCAGUGCCAGUAAUCUAUAAGGAAGAACGAUGCCUUCUCCAAUCAGAGGAAUUCAUUGAAUCUGAGCCUGAUCAUCACAACGUCACCUCAUCAUUCCCGACCUUCUACGCCUGCAAGUCAGUGCUUUACCUUCAACGUGGGAAGGAAAUUCCAAAUCUUCCAAUUACACCACAGGAUAUCGUCUUAGAGGGAAAAUUGACCCGUACCAACGCUGGAGGCAACUUCCAUGUGGCAGAUGAUGGUGAAAACUCAAGAAUUGUGAUCUUUGGAACAGACAGCAACAUCAACUCGCCGCCAGCAACAGAGUCAACAUGGAUGGAACAUUCUUCUCUUCACCUGGUUAGUUCACUCAGCUGUAUUUCCUCCACGGAGAAAUCAACGGUUGGACAUACCCUCUAG